rnacentral:rRNA from 1 species
GUUUGAUCCUGGCUCAGGACGAACGCUGGCGGCGUGCCUAACACAUGCAAGUCGAGCGAAGUGCUUAUGAUGAAAUCUUCGGAUAGAUUCAUAAACCACUUAGCGGCGGACGGGUGAGUAACGCGUGAGGAACCUGCCUUGUACAAGGGGAUAGCCUCGGGAAACCGGGAUUAAUACCCUAUGAUACUUAAAAUUCACAUGAAUAUUAAGUUAAAGCGAAUUAGCGGUGCAAGAUGGUCUCGCGUCCCACUAGUUAGUUGGUGAGGUAACGGCUCACCAAGGCCACGAUGGGUAGCCGGCCUGAGAGGGUGAUCGGCCACACUGGAACUGAGACACGGUCCAGACUCCUACGGGAGGCAGCAGUGGGGGAAAUAUUGCACCAUGGAGAGAAACUCUGGAUGCAGCGACGUCGCGUGGAGUGAUGAAGGUCUUCGGAUCGUAAAACUUCUGUCCUAAGGACGAUAAUGACGGUACCUUAGGAGGAAGCCCCGGCUAACUACGUGCCAGCAGCCGCGGUAAUACGUAGGGGGCGAGCGUUGUCCGGAUUUAUUGGGCGUAAAGGGUGCGUAGGCGGCCUUGUAAGUCAGAUGUGAAAGAUCAUGGCUUAACUGUGGUAAGCAUUUGAAACUGCAGGGCUUGAGUACAGGAGAGGAGAGUGGAAUUCCUAGUGUAGCGGUGAAAUGCGUAGAUAUUAGGAGGAAUACCAGUGGCGAAGGCGACUCUCUGGACUGAUACUGACGCUGAGGCACGAAAGCGUGGGGAGCAAACAGGAUUAGAUACCCUGGGUAGUCCACGCUAUAAACGAUGAGUGCUAGGUUGUCGGGGGUCAAACCUCGGUGCCGCAGUUAACACAUUAAGCACUCCGCCUGGGGGAGUACGGCCGCAAGGCUGAAACUCAAAGGAAUUGACGGGGACCCGCACAAGCAGCGGAGCAUGUGGGUUUAAUUCGAAGCAACGCGAAGAACCUUACCAGGGCUUGACAUCCCCCGGACCGAACUAGAGAUAGUUCCUUCCCUUCGGGGACUGGGGAGAACAGGUGGGUGCCAUGGGUUGUUCUCCAGCCUCGUGUCUGAGAAUAGUUGGUUAAGUUCCCGCCACGAGGCGCCAACCCCCCUAUCUUUUUAGUUGCCAAACAGGUUCCGCGGUUGUGCAACUCUCUAAAAGGGGCUGCCGAUGAUAAAUCGGAGGAAGGUGGGGAUGACGUCAAAUCAUCAUGCCCUUUAUGUCCUGGGCUACACACGUGCUACAAUGGUCAAUACAACGGGUAGCGACCUCGUGAGAGGUAGCCAAUCCCACAAAGUUGAUCCCAGUUCGGAUUGUAGGCUGCAAUUCGCCUACAUGAAGCCGGAGUUGCUAGUAAUCGCGGAUCAGAAUGCCGCGGUGAAUGCGUUCCC